ensembl:lncRNA
CUACAGCCCAUUAUAAAAUGUGACUUAAUAAUAUUAUCCUAGGUUAUCUAUGAUUUGGGAACUUAGCUGAUUUAAUCUUGGAAUUUUUCUGUAGAUCUAGAUUUUGUUCCAUAUUUGAAAAUAUGGUUUCAGUUCACUAUGAAUUGUCUACUCUCUCCACAUAAGUCUGCAUCAGGACAUGCUACUGAAGCCACCAAGACUCAAGACCAUUGGCUCACAUUGAUCAAGUCUUCCUGGCGUCAUAUUCUGGGCCAGAUUUCAUUAUAAUCUUAGGUUUAUGCUGGAAGCACACUGUACCAUCUUAACAAGUAGUACUUGGGAAAAAGGUCACUGGCCAGAAGAACAAGAACAAGAAGAAGGUAGCUCUUGAAAUCAAAAGUUAACAACAGACUUUUAAAAAGACUCACAGAAAUUAAUUUUAUGGUUCCAGCGUGAAUGUUUUCAUAGAACACUUCAAGGCUUGUAAUCACUGCUGCCAAACAUUUGGAAUCAACUACAAGUACAUAAAACUGAAAAAUGAUCUUAAACUAUCAAUGCAUCAUGUCAGAUUUUAAUUUGUAGGUGAAAACUGUACAAUGGAUAAAACACUUACUGCUAUUUCUGUAGUUGAAUCCAGAGAGAUACUUUUUUUGGUACCAGGGAUCUUAGGACCUCGCGCUUGCCAGGCGGGCACUAUGCCGUUGAGCUAAAUCCCCGGCCCAGAGAGAUACUUCUUAUAGAAGAACAAAACCUUAUGGUAAAUAACACCCAAAUGUGGUGAACUCUUAAGCAUUUUUCCCUUCAAGUGUGAAGGAAAGUGUGAUAUAUGCCAUGGAGAGGCAUCUGGAACACAAUUUAAAAUAAAGCCUUAAGAUUGCUCUUCUACUCCUUCACACACAGUUAUUUAUUUACUCACUUAUAUUUACAGUGCUGGGGAUUGAACCCAGGGCUGCUUCUCUCUCUUUUUCAUUUUUUGGGGGGAUGGGGAGGGAUGGAGAAGAAACAGAACAGGCCAGCUAUCAGAUAGAAACCUACUGUUUCUUUAAUAUUUCUUAAUUUGUUGCUGAUCUUUGGUUGUGUGAACCACAAUAGAGAUGCCUCUUCUGUAGCUGGUGUUCAAGUUCCCUAAAAUUUUAAAUUGUUUGGUCUGUUAAGUAUCCUUAUAUCUCAUUGGAAAGAUGCUUGUACUUAGCUGUCACAAUGUUGCAGCUACAAGAUUAAUCAGCCUCUCCUUCGUUCUCCAUCAUUUAAUCAUGCUCUUUCUUGUCUCUUCAUUUAAGAUGAUUUUGUUCAAAAACUGAAAAAUGUUUUAUCUAGAUAAGGAAGAACAUUCAUAUCACUCAGUACACUUCUGGCUUCAUUCUCUUACAACUUAUCUUUCCUGAGGCUUGAUUGUCCUUUAUCCAUUGAGUAAGCAGGUCUCUGUCAAAGGUAAAGGGUUAUGAUUACAUGGUGAAUUAAGCUAUUUUCUGUAAUCAAGGUUUUUUUCAAUUACUAGUUUUGUACACUAGAAUUUUUAAAAACAUUUUAUACAAGUAAGGCACUUAAACUGGCACCCUUGAACGACAUGAUUUUACCAGUACUACCACAAUACUGUAAUAUAGGUAGCUCCUCAGCAGCUUCUGAGUUAAACUUACUUGAUUUACUCUUGACCUUUUUUCCUAGAGUCUGCACAGGUACACUCUGCCUUGAACAAUUUAGAAGAGACAAAAACUGCUUAUCUUAGAAGCACAUGAUUUUUUGUUCUUAUAAACAGAUCCUUGGUUCAGCAUAGAUUCUGGAAGUAUGUGCAAUCUAUUUGCCUGUUGGGUGCCUUUGAAUAAGUUCUUUAAUUUCUUAAACCUUCACCUUUUUCACCUCUGAAACUAUAUAUAUCUCAAGAUUGGAAGUAUCUAGCACUAUGCUUGAAAUUACUGUAAUAAACCCACAACAAAUAUUCCUCUAUCAAACAUUAAGGUUUUUGUAGGAAUAUAAAGGUUGAUAACUGUUCCUGCGUUUACAAUUAACAGUGGAAAUAAAGUGAAUGAAAAAUAGUGUGGCAAAUGCUGUUAGAUGUAAGACCAUGUUGCUGAAGCAUCAUGGGGGAGCCAUCUAACCCAAAUUUGGGAUAUCAUGUAAGGCUGACAUCCUGAACUGAGUCCUGCAGAUACGGAGAUUAAUAAGCAAAGAGGAUGAACAAAGUAUUCCAUGCACAAAGAUCACAUCUCCCACAAUUCUUGAAAUACUCCGUUAUUUUUUUCAAGUAUUAUGUAGCCAC